AUAGAUUUUAGUCAGUUAAUUCUUAUGAUUUUGGCAAUGCAUAUAUGGAAUACCGAAAUAAAAUUGAACCAUCGUUAGGUUCAAUAUGUCUACUGUUAAGAAGAGUGUUGGCGCUUUGGGAGGACGUGGUCCAAUGGGAGUGGAGCACUAGAGAGAUCCUGUUUUUUGUAGUAUAUGAAUUUUUACAUAUAUGUAGUGAAAAAUUUCAUUUUAACCCGUUUCUUUUAAGUACAUCAUAUAUGUACUGCUGAAUUAUAUUGUAAAAAACAACUAAAGUAAGUGAUGAACUUACGCAAAUAAUGAGAUUUAACCUGCAAGCAGUGUAGCAGAGAUGUACCCAAAUUAUGUAAGCAGUGUAGUAGAUAUGUACUCAAAUUAUGUAAGCAGUGUAGCAGAUAUGUACUCGAAUUUGUAAACAGUGUAGCAGAUAUGUACUCAAUAUAAUGAGCAUGUAGACACACAUGUUUGGUA